rnacentral:rRNA from 1 species
CAGUAGCCACGGGAAUACGUAGGUGGCAAGCGUUGUCCGGAAUUAUUGGGCGUAAAGGGCUCGCAGGCGGUUUCUUAAGUCUGAUGUGAAAGCCCCCGGCUCAACCGGGGAGGGUCAUUGGAAGCUGGGAAACUUGAGUGCAGAGGAGGAGAGUGGAAUUCCACGUGUAGCGGUGAAAUGCGUAGAGAUGUGGAGGAACACCAGUGGCGAAGGCGACUCUCUGGUCUGUAACUGACGCUGAGGAGCGAAAGCGUGGGGAGCGAACAGGAUUAGAUACCCCCGUAGUCCCUGUCUCUUAUAC